CAGUUAGUUGGCGGGGUAAUGGCCCACCAAGACAGUGAUCUGUAUCCGGCCUGAGAGGGCGCACGGACACACUGGAACUGAAACACGGUCCAGACUCCUACGGGAGGCAGCAGUGGGGAAUUUUGCGCAAUGGGGGAAACCCUGACGCAGCAACGCCGCGUGGAGGAUGAAGCCCCUUGGGGCGUAAACUCCUUUCGAUCGGGAAGAUAAUGACGGUACCGGAAGAAGAAGCCCCGGCUAACUUCGUGCCAGCAGCCGCGGUAAUACGAGGGGGGCGAGCGUUGUUCGGAAUUAUUGGGCGUAAAGGGCGCGUAGGCGGUUGGACAGGUCUUGUGUGAAAUCUUCAGGCUCAACUUGAAGUCUGCACGGGAAACUGUCCGGCUAGAGUAUGGGAGAGGUGCGUGGAAUUUCCGGUGUAGCGGUGAGAUGCGUAGAUAUCGGAAGGAACACCUGUGGCGAAAGCGGCGCACUGGACCAUAACUGACGCUGAGGCGCGAAAGCUAGGGGAGCAAACAGGAUUAGAUACCCUGGUAGUCCUAGCCCUAAACGAUGAUUGCUUGGUGUGACGGGUAUCCAAUCCCGCCCU
rnacentral:rRNA from 1 species